rnacentral:lncRNA from 1 species
AAUGUUUAGGUUAUACCCUACCAUUACAUAGGAGAUUCAGGACUUUUCAGGCUAAAGAGGGAAUCUUGAAGCUUCAGUAAAUCAUUAAAGAAUACAUUUAAUCGUAGGGAAUGGGUUAUACAUUCUGUUCUGGCACGGUUACUUUGAGUUUGUUUGGGUUCUUCAGUCUUCUUGCAUUGUUGUUCAAGGUGCCAAAUUAGCAUCAAUAAUAAGAAAACUCUUGCUUCAGUGUCUCUGUCUGCCCCCCACAGGUGAAUGGGAUACCCAUUACCUUAGAAGAAGAGAUGUACCUUUGUUUCCCUACUGAGUUUUGAUCAGAUAUGCACUUGGCCUGAAUGGUUUGAUUGCAGCAGAUGCACAUCCACAUCGCCAGAAGAUCAGCCAGAAAACAUUUAGCUCAUUUCUCCAUUAGUUCUGCCUUCCAGAAACUGCUAGCAAGAGGAUGUUUUCACACAGGAGCAUGAAGGCAGGACAAAACAGUGAAGCUCAAAUGACAGCUCAUGGACUGGUGUCAAAGAAAACAGACCAUGAACAGAUUUACUGACUUAACUGGACUAGCCACAAGGUUGGAAUUAUGUAUGUGCUUCAGUAUCAUGCCAGGGCCAUUACCCUUCCUGAAGGACCAAAGAUGGAAGUUAAGAGGAGAUUGUAAAACUCUGGGAACAGCUGAAAAUCCCACCUGGAAAAUCUUUGAAUAAUGAUCCUGUAUCUUAGCAAAGACAGGAUAACAAUCUUCAACAGCAGACAAGCUGCUGCAAGGAAUAAAAUGAUUAAUUUGUUGACUGUGCCUAUGGCA